UUAUACAUGGAGAAAAUGUUCAGAGAUCCAUCAUUCUAUGACAUCGAUGACAAAGUGAGGUCUCGUGUUUCUCAGUUUAAGGUUGUCGUGCCCCAUGGAUUGUCAGUGCAUAAAUCUGAUUUCAUGCUGGAUGAAUGAAUUGGGAAAAGAUGGGUACAACAUUAAGGUUGACAAUAGCACGCGCUUGCAGUUUGCAUUAAAGUUGGCUUUACACAAAUACAACGAAAACCAGGUGGACUAGGUGAGCCUCGAGAGGGCCUCGCCCAGGGCUGCCCGCCUCGUAGCGGUCACGCAAGCUCAGAGUUGGGCCUCCCCCGCGAGGCCCAAUCGACCCAAGUAGUUAAACUCACAAGGCCCAACCCCUAGCCUAUAAAUAGGGAGCG